AUUGAACGCUGGCGGCAUGCUUUACACAUGCAAGUCGGACGGCAGCACAGAGAAGCUUGCUUCUUGGGUGGCGAGUGGCGAACGGGUGAGUAACAUAUCGGAACGUACCGAGCAGUGGGGGAUAACUAAUCGAAAGAUUAGCUAAUACCGCAUAUAUUCUGAGGAAGAAAGCAGGGGACCAUUUGGCCUUGCGCUGUUUGAGCGGCCGAUAUCUGAUUAGCUAGUUGUGGGGUAAAGGCCUACCAAGGCGACGAUCAGUAGCGGGUCUGAGAGGAUGAUCCGCCACACUGGGACUGAGACACGGCCCAGACUCCUACGGGAGGCAGCAGUGGGGAAUUUUGGACAAUGGGCGCAAGCCUGAUCCAGCCAUGCCGCGUGUCUGAAGAAGGCCUUCGGGUUGUAAAGGACUUUUGUCAGGAAAGAAAAAGGCGGGGUUAAUACCCCUGUCUGAUGACGUACCUGAAGAAUAAGC
rnacentral:rRNA from 1 species